GGGUGCCAGAGGGGACGCACUGACUCCACCCCCCUUCAGAAGCCCUCAGGGGAAAGCCCGUCUCCCGCCGCCGGUGGCUGAGAGGGAGGACGAGGACCAGACCUACAUGAAUGACGAAGAUGUGGCAGCCAUCAAGGGAACGAAGCCAAAGCUGCCCGGCGCCACUAAAGACCUGAGCACGAGGGUGCCUAGCAACAGCCC